rnacentral:sRNA from 1 species
AGAGAUUUGUAUCCAUUAUAUUCAAUAGCCUGCAUGUGUCCAAAUCACAGAUGAAAGAAUGUGGGCAAAUAUAAAUUAAAAUUGAAUGUUUCAGAAGUGGUUGAGGAACUUCACCAGGAUAUGUUAAUGUACAAACUGAAAACUGACGAAAGACCUCUAAAGAGAGAUUUGUUAGGAGAAAUAAAAAGAUGUAUAAAUUUCAGUGACGCUGAAGGAGAGGAAGGAUGUGAUGCCUUUCCCCAUCCGUCAUAAGGGUCAUGGCCAACACUCCUAUAACAAAAGGUUUUGAGAAGCCAUCUGCAGCUCACAACUAGAUGAGUGACACAAUCAGAUGUUUGUAUGCAGAAAAAAGCCUAGAGACAUUGAACUAAGAUCAAAUUAAAUGUAUUAAAUAUGGUAGAAAGAAGACAGAAUGAAAAAUAAUGUUAACAAUCUAGGUGAGGAAUUGCUGAGGAGACAAAUUAAGUAAAUACUGUGGAAGGAAAGAAGAAAGGAAGAAAGAGGAUUGGAUGGAAGAAUCUCCAUUUCUCAGUAAUUCAUUUAUUUACUUUAUUAGUUUACUUCCAUGUGAUUGGCAUCUGAAUUAUUAUUUUAAAGUUAGAUGACUUUUGCUAAUAUCCUUGUAUUUAAAUUUUUAAAAAUACAUCUUGUUAUUCUUCUA